AACUGCUGCUAAUUCCGAGAUAUUUGAGUUGUUAGAAACAAAGAGAUCGCACAGCAGCAAGAAGAAACGAUUGGAUUUAAAGAAGAGAAGAAACUAGACAAAGUGGUGGAUACUGUUUUCAAGCCUGAAGGUCGCUGAUCCAGAGCAGGCUUUCUACAAACAUGUCCAAAGCCCAACAGCUGAGGGACAGGCUGAAACCACGGCUGACAGCUGCUGAUGAAGAAAUAUUUGAGCUGUUAGAAGGAUUGAUUGCAGACUAUGAAGAAGAAAUUCAUCGUUUAAAAGAAGAGAUCAAAGGAUGGAAAGUUCUUGAAGCUGUUUUUAAUCCUCGAGUUUGCUUGUACAAAGCAGACAUGCAGCCAUUAGUGGU